GGUGGUUGGGGGAGGGGACAUGCUGCCAGGCCAGUUUCCAUCCCCUAGGUUUCAGAGCCAACAUAGCAGCAUUCUUCUACACAGGACCCUCCCCCACCCCAGACAACCUGGAGAGUCCAGGGAACACCUUUGUUAAUAGCCACAGAGCGGAGGCAACUGACUACCUAUCCUGCAUCCUUGCCCUUCUGCCCUUCUCCCUUAGGGAAGACAUCCCCGUCAGAAUACAUGAGAUGGGGGGUAGACACAGCCUCUCUGAAGGGAGGCGGUAGAAGAAUUUACACAGCCCCAAAUAAGUGCUUCUCUUGUCUCAACAAUUACACUCUGGAAAGUCUAGGCACUGACUGACAGGUGUGUAACAUCUGACCUGCAAAGAUGGGGUGUCAGGAUGCUGUGCUUAAGGGGGGAGGCUGGGGAGACCAGGGGUCGACAUGAUGUGACAAGGGUACCCGGCAGUCCCCACUGCUGGCAAGUUUGGCAGCCUAUGGGCUGGAGGGCCUUUUAAACCAGGGCAAUACAAAGGCCAGGCUCUCAAGACUAGCUUUGUCCUUCCUCAGGGGCAGGGGGUUGGGAGUUGGGGGUGGGGUGGAGAAGUUGAGUUUUCUGUGGUUCCUGUCAGUCAAGUGAUGAUGUGCAGAGAGUGGGUACACACAGGUGUUCCCUCGCUCAUUGCUUCCUAUCCAGGUAGAUGGAGUAAUCAUUCAGAAAUCACUUCUGAUUGCAAACCCUACCUGGUAUUGCAGCUUUAGACCACAAAGAAAUAACUGCAACCUGGCUUGCUCCAAUGAGCCUGGAAGUCCCUCCUGGAACCGUGGCAGAGUCUGAGGACAGCCGCCACUCGGACAGUCUAAUCUGAGUGUUUUCAGAAAGAGCUUUUAUAUGGAUCCCUUUUGUGAUCUUUGCUUGAUAAGGGGGCAUAAAAGGCACCCCUCUCUACCUCUUCUUAUAGGUGAAGAGGCUGGGGCUUGAAGGGAGGAAGGAGGCCGCCCAGCACCUCUAGGGUGCUACGUUAGCGUGGAAGUCGAGAUUGCUCCAGCUGCGGUUCCUGGUCGUUUGCUUUAGGAAUUCCAGUCCUCAGUAGAAAGGAGGCCAGCAGCUCUAAGAAGCCCACGAGGAUGACAAGCAGGGACAACUUUCUGUCACCAUUUCAUGGAGGAACCCACCAGUCGUUAGAAAGGACACCUGUUCCAGGCUGCGAGGACUGGUACCAGCAGCCUUGGAUACAAUACAGUCCCUGAGCUGUUUUCUGCAUCAGUAAGAUGGGUGAGACAGGCUGCCCUGCUCCAGGGCUCUCUGCCCACUGCGCUAGGCUGCUUCCAGACUGUUCUAGGGAAGUUACUCUCCACUCCUCCACUCCUCUAGGGAGCCGAGGGCUUGCCCAGGGUCCCACUGCUAGAAUAAAAUAUACACUACCAUUUAUCAUUUACCACUGAGGAGCCAGGGAUAACCUUAGCUACACAGCCAAGCACAUAAGAAGAGGCUCUGGCAGGGAACUACACAUCCUCUUCCUGGUCUUUCUCUGCCCUUCUGCAGCUAGGUGUCUGUCAAUGACUUUUGCCCUGGUAUCCACCUACUGUGUGCCAGAUACAGGGGGCAGGACGGGGCCAUUGCCUGGUAUUCACAGGCAAUCUGGCAUGUGGGUAGACCUGCCCUAAGGGAGGAUGUUAUUCAGGAGAGAGGCAAGGACGGGUACUCACUCCGGACAGACAGAGGAGGAGGAAGGUGCAGUGAUGUGGAAGAUGAGCAAGAUGAGCACCUUCCCAGUACUACGGUGGCAUGGGACACUGAGGUCAGCCUUAGGGCCUUGAAUGCCAAGAUGAGACAGGGGAUGGAAUGAAGGCAACAAAGAGCAUGCAGGACCAAGGGAGCAACGGCAAGGGUGGGGGGGACACCAAGUGUGUGUGUGGGGGGGGGCAGUGGGAAUAUACUGGGGUAGAAGUAGGAGCCAAGCCUGCCAGGGCUGAGUGUCCACACUGGAUGGGCAGAGGAAACACAGUAGCAGUCAGCUGGGGCCUUCAGCAAUGGGCAGAGAAUGGGGGUAGGGAGCCACACACCUUGACCCUGACCCUUGCGGUCCACCUACAGCUGCCGUUUGUCUUUCUUGCUCUAAAAGGUAGAGAAAGUUUAACCGUGGAUGACUAACAUCUCCUGGAGUUGUUUCACAAACUGGGCCAGACCAGGGACCAGCUACGGGGCUAGUCAGAUGUGCCAGCCUCCGGGAGCAGCGAACAGGGACUCAGGAAAGAGCUGCUACCUAUGAGGCCUUCUACACACCACCAGGCCAUUCCCUUCAGAGCCACCUGGGCCCAUGAAGGGUCCCUAUGCGUCCCCUCAUGAUCUCUCCAUCUCUCUCACGAUUUCCCACCCAGCCUCUCACACUGGGCUCCUCAGCAUUGGGCACGACCCUCAUUCCGUAGCAGCUCAGCAACAGUGGCCCAUCUACCCAGGAGCUAUAAGUACCAACCAACCUGACCCUCCACCUUGAGUCUAGGCCCAGCUCCCUGGUGCCCCUGCCCUUUCCCAGACUGUAUCUUAGAAGCUUCUCUGUAUCAGUCUGCCUGCCUUGGUCUUGGCUUUCUCCCGGGACAAGCCCCUCCCCCAGUGACUCACCUCUGAGCAAGUCACAGACACACAGUGACCUUCCCACCUCAGACCAGUCCCAGCUGAGAUGGGUUGAGAGGCUAUUUUCAGACACUCUCCAGUCCACUCUAGCCUCUCCAGCAGUCUGGCCUUGAGCACUUCCCUCCCACCAGGAAACAGCAGGCUCUUGUUCUAAUCCUGAUUCCACCUCACUGAAUGUGUGACCUUGGGCAAGUCUUUUGCUCAACUUCCAAGUAAGGGAAUAAGCUGCGGAGAUGCUGGCCUAGCCUGGAAAGGUGAACCAAGGAGGCCUGCCUGGUGUCUCAGAGAGUGAGUGGGACUCAACCAGAAGGCUGGGGCAGGCAUUCGGGUAGCGGGAACCGUGUCUGCAAAGGGCUGUGGGCAAGCAAUGCACAGGUGUGGUGCCUGGGAGGUGCAGCCUCUCAGAGAGCCUGGCAAAGAGAUGAUCCUGGGCAGUCCGCCAGGGCCUGGCUGACCCCUAGUUCUUAGGCCCAGAGUCCAGGUCUGCAGCAGUAGGUAAAGGGGAGAAACGUGUGCCGGGUAAGACCUGUCAGUUGCAGCAGAUUCUAGAGAGGCCAGAGUGGGUGGCAGGGGAAUUCCCAACUAGAGGUCUGAGUCUAGGACUGAGCCUGGGCCCCGAGGGGCCUGGAGGCUCUGGAGAGCCAUGUGGCCAGGGAAGUAUACAGCUGCCCUCACAGUGUGGCCCAGAUCUCUGGACAUCGACAGAGACAAAUACAGUUAACACAACAUGCAGACAGCACCAAACCCAGACGGGACAGACAGACCUGUGGCCACAAGCAUGAACCCAUGGGAACGGGAAGCCAAAGCCACCAACACUAACAAGGCAAGCAUACCUCCCCCAUAGACCCCUUCAGAGGACAGCAGUGAGGGGCACGCGGGACUCUUAUGGACACAGUGUCUUGAUCCCCAAAGAACAACCCCCUCAUUAACAGACCCGCAGCCUGGAGUCACAGGCUCCUUACCUAGAGGGUCCUUUCCCACUUGGUGAGCUUCUACUCAUCCUUCAAGACCCAGCUCAAGGGUUCCCUCUUCUACGGAGCUUGCCCUGAACCCCCAGUCAGUCACUUCCUCUGUGUUCCCAACGGCACCUUGUAUAUGGGAAUAACAAUAACAAUAACAAUAAAAUGGCAGCUACUGUUGAUUUAAA